rnacentral:tRNA from 1 species
UAGCCUAGUUGAUAAGGCUAUGGAUCGCCAAUCCGGAGACGGCGGGUUCGAUUCCCGU